rnacentral:rRNA from 1 species
GACGAACGCUGGCGGCGUGCUUAACACAUGCAAGUCGAACGGAAAGGCCCUGCUUUUGUGGGGUGCUCGAGUGGCGAACGGGUGAGUAACACGUGAGUAACCUGCCCUUGACUUUGGGAUAACUUCAGGAAACUGGGGCUAAUACCGGAUAGGAGCUCCUGCUGCAUGGUGGGGGUUGGAAAGUUUCGGCGGUUGGGGAUGGACUCGCGGCUUAUCAGCUUGUUGGUGGGGUAGUGGCUUACCAAGGCUUUGACGGGUAGCCGGCCUGAGAGGGUGACCGGCCACAUUGGGACUGAGAUACGGCCCAGACUCCUACGGGAGGCAGCAGUGGGGAAUAUUGCACAAUGGGCGGAAGCCUGAUGCAGCAACGCCGCGUGCGGGAUGACGGCCUUCGGGUUGUAGACCGCUUUCGCCUGUGACGAAGCGUGAGUGACGGGAAUGGGUAAAGAAGCACCGGCUAACUACG